GCGGCGCGAGUCGGUGGGUCAGUCCGCCCGCCGGCUUGCAGCUCUGGGCGUCCUCUGCGGGUUGAGAGCUGCGGCUGCUCCGGCUUUCUCUUUGCAACGAGGCUGGAGGGUGGGAUUUUUUUUUUUUCCUUUUUGCGCGUGUGUGUAUGUGUGUAUGUGCGCAAAAUAUCUCCCAGGAAUGAAAGAUGGGCGCUGGCGGCCGGAGGGGAACCCUCAGGGAGGCAGCGGGGGAGGCCGCGGGCGCGCGGGGAGGCAGGCGGGCCGCUCCCGGCUGCAGGAGGAGAAGUUGCCACCCUUUCAGCUGUUCCGGCUUUUAUAAAGGAGAAGGGAGAGUGGAGAGGUGGGGAAACUGAAGCACAGAGGGGCCAAGCAACUUGUUCAAGGUCACACAGCCAGUAAGUGACAGAGGCACAACCUGACCCAGGUGGACCAGCUACCAAGCCCCGUGCUUACCAACUAAGCCGAGCUGUUUCCUGGCAGGCGACGACGAUGACCAAAACAGUGACACAUUUUGCACGGGGCUCUUGUGAGCAUCAAGUGCAUUAACACAUGUGACUGAGUGAAGCACUGAGAGAUACAGUCAGGGAGGAGAUCAGUCCUGGCGUUCGGGGACCUCCCUGUCCCUGAGUGAGAGAGAGAGAGUCCUCCACAAUCCAGAAGUGGCAGGACAGGGACCAGCAGAGGCAUUGGGAACCACCUGGCACCUGGACCUAAAUGCCAUUAGGAGCAGAACCCCUUUCCUGCACCUUCUCCUGGCAGACAGGUGGCUCCGGAAAGCACACAUCUGCCUCUUCUUCGUGGCACCUCCUCCAGGAAGCCCUCAGGCCCAGUGCUUGCUCUGGGCUCCCCAGUAUGUCCUGUCAUGCCCCAGUGUCAGUCUAGCCCUAGACAGUUCAGGGUGAGCCAAGGUCACGGCUCCCUGCAUGUAGUAGUUGCUCAACCAAGUGUUUACUGAAGGAACAAAUAAAUGAAUAAACAUCUUGCCUGUUUCUUUCUCUGAA